GAUGAACGCUGGCGGCGUGCCUAAUACAUGCAAGUCGAGCGCAAAGAUCAGGAGCUUGCUCCUGUGAUUUGAGCGGCGGACGGGUGAGUAACACGUAGGCAACCUACCCUUGAGAUUGGGAUAACUACCGGAAACGGUAGCUAAUACCGGAUACGACCUUUCCACAUAAGUGGAAUUGUUAAAAGGCGGAUUUAUCUGCCGCUCAUGGAUGGGCCUGCGGUGCAUUAGCUAGUUGGUGAGAUAGUAGCUCACCAAGGCGACGAUGCAUAGCCGACCUGAGAGGGUGAUCGGCCACACUGGGACUGAGACACGGCCCAGACUCCUACGGGAGGCAGCAGUAGGGAAUCUUCCGCAAUGGACGAAAGUCUGACGGAGCAACGCCGCGUGAGUGAUGAAGGGUUUCGGCUCGUAAAACUCUGUUGUUAAGGAAGAAUACUUGAGGUAGUAACUGGCCUUGAG
rnacentral:rRNA from 1 species